UACGUAGGGUGCGAGCGUUGUUCGGAAUUACUGGGCGUAAAGGGCGCGUAGGCGGCCUUCUAAGUCGGACGUGAAAUCCCUCGGCUUAACCGAGGAACUGCGUCCGAUACUGAAAGGCUUGAAUCCGGGAGAGGGAUGUGGAAUUCCAGGUGUAGCGGUGAAAUGCGUAGAUAUCUGGAGGAACACCGGUGGCGAAGGCGGCAUCCUGGACGGUAACUGACGCUGAGACGCGAAAGCGUGGGGAGCAAACAGG
rnacentral:rRNA from 1 species